CAGCGGGGAAAGAAGACCCUGUUGAGCUUGACUCUAGUCUGACUCUGUGAAGAGACAUGAGAGGUGUAGCAUAAGUGGGAGGCCGUGAACCCUCGCGGUUGUGUCGUGCCGUCAGUGAAAUACCACUACUUUCAUCGUUUCUUUACUUACUCGGUGAAGCGGAAAGCGGACCAUGAGUGUCCACGCUUCUAGCACUAAGUGCAAGGCCCUUCGUUGGCCCGCACGAUCUGUUCCGAGGACAGUGUCAGGCGGAAAGUUUGACUGGGGCGGUACAUCUGUCAAAUGGUAAC
rnacentral:ncRNA from 1 species